rnacentral:rRNA from 1 species
UACGGAGGAUGCGAGCGUUAUCCGGAUUUAUUGGGUUUAAAGGGUGCGUAGGCGGCGCGACAAGUCAGCGGUAAAAAUUCGGGGCUCAACCCCGUCCGGCCGUUGAAACUGUCGUGCUCGAGUGAGCGAGAAGUAUGCGGAAUGCGAGGUGUAGCGGUGAAAUGCAUAGAUAUCACGCAGAACUCCGAUUGCGAAGGCAGCAUACCGGCGCUCAACUGACGCUGAGGCACGAAAGCGUGGGGAUCAAACAGG